UGGCUUAUUUGAUUGAAUAGAAGUUUCGUAAUUAUUAGGCUGUUAACGAGUGUACUGAUAUAAGUAGAACAAGUGACAUCCCGGGAAAUUCGAGAAAAAACACUUUAUAUCGCCAGUGUGCCUGGUCGUUACUAGUUACCCCAGUCAGAAAGUCAUAAACCCCGCCUAUUUCUACAAUGUAUCUUCUUAAAAUGUUAUUUUUAAAAUAACUUGGACCACACUGCUAACCUUAUGCUUAAUUAAUUUAAUCUAAUUUCUGUUUUCAUACAUUUUUUACGACACAGCCAAUUCUGACUUUAUGGUUGUGGUAACCGUUGUGCUUUUUGUUCACACGCGUAUCUGCCCUGUCAUUGGCUAGAAUGGUCCCACCUGAUCUUGCCUCCUCCCGUUUGCCUUCAUUUUUGAAGAUUUAAUGUAAUUGUUAGAGCGUCCACUAGGUUAACUGUGUUUUAAUGAAAAGCAUGCAUGGGGUUUGAAGCAAAUUCACAUUUUACUAAACUAACUACAUUAUAUUUAGCCAGAAUAUGACAUAUUGUGGGCUUUCACAUGAUUGUCUACGAAAUGGGUCAAACUUCAAACGGUGUCAUGGAUGAUCUUGAGUCAGAACUGAGGGUGCUAGGAGAACUGGGCGAAAAUGACUCUUCAGAUGAUGAAUCAAUCAACAGAAAACGAAUCAAGCAGCCAAACCUCCCCCGGAGUCAACUAUAUUUAAAGGCAAUUUAUAAAAUACACUUUGUUGACGAAUAUGUGAUACGCUAAUUUAUUAUCUUGACAAUGUGCUGCUACCGGUGGCUGUUUGCUUGCUCUGGACCUAUCGCGCCACGAGAACGCACGACUAUAUACCUGAUUAUCGUGUUCAUCAUUGUGUAAGAUCUCUUAGACCUAGUAACCAGUCUGUCUCCUGUAUGAUCAGAGACACACCGUGAGACUGGUUUUCACAAGACCACAAUGAACUGCCUUCUGCACAUCAAGGAGACCCUGCUACACUAUAGAUGGCAGGAAGCUGCUGAGUACAUGUCCAGUUACUCACGAACACUGGAGGACAUGCCACAACUCUACGCUGAGGACAAGCACAGAUACACCACCGUCCCAUCUUGAAGCUGGAAGACCACAACAGUUUCUAUGCGCUACUAGAGAUCUAUGCGGGAGUGAAACACUCAGGAGUGAAACAUUACCUGAAGUAAAUCUGUCUGGAGCACUCGUUUCACCUCCUGGUGAACGGGCAGUUUGAGGACGUCCAUCGCUGAGAGCUGGAGGUACGGCAAGCAGUCAGCCGAUCAGUCCCAGCGGAUUAAGCUGAUCCAGUCCUACAGUGGCUUCCUGGAUUACUUCAUCUGGUGUGGGGGGAGAAAAAAAGUCCACCGUCUCCAGCACUGAUGCUGGAAUUCUACAACGAUCACGAGGGAGCUGUGAAGGUUCUGAAUGACUAUGCCUAUGACAACAGUUUGCCUCCCCAAUGCCCAUGUCUACCGGUACAUGAAGAAAUUCAACCACCCAUCAAAUAAACUGCUCAGUGCUCAAGGAAAGGCACCAAAGAGGGUGUGAAUGGGAAUAGGUGGGAAGUAUACUCACAAAACAUUGUUUAUUUAGCUGUAUGUUUACAGUUGGCAUAUUGAAUGUUAAAUUAAGCCACGGGAAAUGUUUGUCUAAGGUUGACCUCCCUAAAAAAAGUAAUUAUAGUACUUUUGUGAGAUGUAAUUGCUAAGCUCUAGGCUACAGUUAGUCCUGCGCUCCUCUGCCCUUUCAAUAGCGUUCUAGUACAGUAAUGUUUUUAAUGAGUCCAUGUUUUCUAUUACAUUAGCCUUAGAUCCUGCAUACAUUGGUCCCAAGUCACGAGUACAGAAGAGAAUACAGUUCUCUUCUGCUACAGUCCGAGAGAGUGAUCUUCAGAAGGCUCUAGGUGUUGUUCUGGAUCUCCUGGACUUAUCCAGUUGGAGGAGAAACUUGGAUGCCUGGAACCAUUUGAUGACCAUCGUGAAGAGGCUGAGGCCCAGAAAACAAUGGCUGAAGAUUGUUGCAGAGGUGUUGGUGAACAGAAUGGACUGGUGGCUAGCAAUGCACUUCACAACAUUCCAGGCCAGGAGAGACUUGGCAGUGAAUGGGGUGCUACUGGAAGUGAAGUGCUUUGUGCUUGGAGCCUUUUGUCCUCGCUAUGCCUUCAUGUACCGUGGUGUAGGUAAAGGACACCCAAAAAUAAGUUACUUCCGAGGCGCAGAAGACUAAAAGGUCAGAGAAGGAUAAGGAAUCCAAGACUGCUAAGGCUCCGAAGAGAAUGCGGAAAGCAAAGCUGACUUUGAGAAAGCGUCUCGGAACGCUGCUGGGCGCAUCGGCGAGAACCGAAACGUUUUAAAAAUACGUGAAAACCUUCUACCAUUGCCUGAUCAUGGCAGACAUAACCUCCUCAUGCGGUCAUCGGGUCAUACUCUCUCCCCUUCCAUGACAGCUGCUCCAACUACACCCCCUCACUGCAGGCCUCACUCUCACUGCAGGCCUCACUCUCACUGCAGGCCUCACUCUCCUUGCAUUGCUUUACUUCUCAAGUUCUACGAUUGUCCACCAGGGAGGGCUCACACGAUGGCUAAGUUUUGAGUCGUUCUGAAUGCUGCUGAGCCAGUAACUGAGAGCUGUGUUCACUGUGGUAGUUCGUAGGGGAAAAAGGAGGCUGGGUAUGCUGCAGUAUUAAGUCUAGGACACGGUACACAGCUCUCCCAACGGGUAGAUCGCAGCCAACAUGUAUGAGUAGCUCACCAAGCAAUUCUGAAAGUACAUGCAUGUUUUUCAUGUGUUCCCAUUGCAAACUUUCAUAAACAAGCUCCUGGCUACUAUUCAACCAAAACCACAUUGACAUUAUCCUACCCCUGGUUAGCCACUAUUGGCUUAAAAAGCCCAAAUUAACACUAAAUCUGCCAAUUUAUUUCUGGCAAUAUAUCCAUUUGCCUCAGUCUGUCUGCUUGGUACGUGCAUUUGUCUAUCACUCAGUAUGCUGCCAGUUAGCCGUGCUAGUAAUGAUAACCAUCUUGUGGGUAGACAGACUUUGUGCAAAAACUCAAUUAAAUGGUAACUGCAAAGCAGGCUUGCCUGACAAAAAGAUAUGAUUAUUUUUAUCAAUUGGGUGGCCAUCCUUUUGCAAACGCUGCCAUAACGUGCUGCAGCCGUAGGCCUAACAAACAUCUACACUGACACAUUCCCCACUUUCUGAAUGCGCAAUUAAAGGGGAGUUGCACAUGAAAAUUGAAAUUUAUUUUUUAUUUUUCAGACUUCAAUUGCUCUUCUGUGAUUUUAAAUUCUGAAAUUUCCUUCCCCAAUUACAUUUUCUGUCAACAUAGCAACUCCACCCCCUUCAGCAGUUCUAUCUACUGUAGAGAGAGCCUGCAGAGUUCUGUCCUACUAUCCAGGUCUGUGCCCAAACAGUUCGACAUUCUACUUUUA